GACGAACGCUGGCGGCGUGCUUAACACAUGCAAGUCGAACGGAAAGGCCCUGCUUUUGUGGGGUGCUCGAGUGGCGAACGGGUGAGUAACACGUGAGUAACCUGCCCUUGACUUUGGGAUAACUUCAGGAAACUGGGGCUAAUACCGGAUAGGAGCUCCUGCUGCAUGGUGGGGGUUGGAAAGAUUCGGCGGUUGGGGAUGGACUCGCGGCUUAUCAGCUUGUUGGUGGGGUAGUGGCUUACCAAGGCUUUGACGGGUAGCCGGCCUGAGAGGGUGACCGGCCACAUUGGGACUGAGAUACGGCCCAGACUCCUACCGGAGGCAGCAGUGGGGAAUAUUGCACAAUGGGCGGAAGCCUGAUGUAGCAACGCCGCGUGCGGGAUGACGGCCUUCGGGCUGUAAACCGCUUUCGCCUGUGCCGAAGCGUGAGUGACGGUAAUGGGUAAAGAAGCCCCGGCUAACUACGUG
rnacentral:rRNA from 1 species